UACAGAGGUCCCGAGCGUUGUUCGGAUUCAUUGGGCGUAAAGGGUGCGUAGGUGGCGCUGUAAGUGGGGUGUGAAAUCCCGGGGCUUAACUCCGGAACUGCAUUCCAUACUGCGGUGCUUGAGGACUGGAGAGGAGACUGGAAUUUACGGUGUAGCAGUGAAAUGCGUAGAGAUCGUAAGGAAGACCAGUGGCGAAGGCGGGUCUCUGGACAGUUCCUGACACUGAGGCACGAAGGCCAGGGGAGCAAACAGG
rnacentral:rRNA from 1 species